GGGGGCUGGAGUGUGCCACAGCCUUGUAAUGGGUGAAAGUCAAGGAGGUGAGGAGUUUUCUGCAAGCAAUGAAGAACAAGGGUGCCGCUCCAAGAGCUAAGAGUGCCUCCACAUUGAGAAAUGCAGCUCACAGGUUUUCCUCCACAUUACAUUUAAUGAAUGUGUACCACGUGCCCAGAGAUACAAGCAGGAGGAAACAAAAAAAAAGAUAAGGCCCAUGGAUGACCUGAUCAGCAGAGAAUAAUUGCCAUAUGGAAUGAUAAUCGUCCUAACGAAGGGAGAUACAGGGAACACAGCCACGUCCGUUUAUGGAGGUAUUAUGCACGGCCACGCUGGCAGACGACAAGAGUUAGGGCAGACGCUGGAUGGCUCAGAAUGUCUACAACGUUCACGAACUGCUCCUUUGUAGAAAAGGUUUGCUCACUUCUGCUUUUUGCCAGCGUUUCUCAAACUUCAACGUGCGUACCCACCACCUGGGUGCGGGGCGGAGGUGUUCAGUAAAUUCAGAUCCUGUUUUAGGCCGGUCUGCAGUAGGGCCUGAGUCUCCAUGUCUAAUAAGCGACUUGGCGAUGCUGAUGCUACUGGGCCUCGACCACACUGUCAACAGUGGGCAUCUACUCCACUCCUCAAAGUGUGGACCCCAACCAAGGGCAAUCGGUAACGCCAGGGAACCCGUCAGCAGUGCAAAUACUCACGCCCCACCCAGACCUACUGGAUCUUGUUUCAACAAGCCUCCCAGGUGAUUCUGAUGUGGGCUCGAGUUGGAUCCGCACUGCUUUCCACCCCACUGCCUCCUGGGCGAGUUCAGACUCUGGGAGACAUGAAGUCGAGCCUGAUGAAAAACCCAGCGUCAGAAGGAACACACUUUGACACACCCUGAAAAUGCAAGACUUUCCUUAAACAUUCCACCUGUGACUCGAAUGAAGCUGAUAAUACUGUAAUAGAAAAGCUUCCCAUUUAUGAAAACGUGUGACUGCAGUUCACAGAAACCUCCCGUAAGAAUAUAUAUUCGCCAACAGGGCUGAGAAAUAACAGUCAUUAUUAGGACAGCAUUAAAAUAAUCAUGAUAUAAUUAAAAAUAUAAAGACAAAAAAAAAAUGAACCCGGGGGCAUGAUUCUUAACUAUAUAUUUUUUAAGUUUAUUUAUUUUGAGAGAGAGAGAGAGAGAGACAGUGUGAGUGGGGGAGAGGCAGAGAGAGAGGGAGAAAGAAUGCCAAGCAGGCUCUGCACUGUCAGCACAGAGCCGGAUGUGGGGCUCGAACUCAUGAAAUGGGGAGAUCAUGACCUGAGCUGAAGUCAGACACUCAACCCACUAAGCCACCCAG